CUCGCUUAUCAUCUCUGCUGCUAAAUCUACCUGACAGGCCCCUCACAGAAUGAAGAGGCCAAAAAAAACUCCCAUCUCUCUUUCAGAACAAUGAUGAGCAGAGCAAGGUUUGACUCAUUGAGGAUAAUGUGGCAGAUUCACAUAUAUUUUUUGUGAAUACAUCCCCGAAUUCCCAUUGUGAAUGAAUUCCUGCCAUCAGAACUAAAGGUCAGUAAAGGUGUGUGUGUGUGUGCGUGCGUGUGUGUGUGCGUGUGCGCGUUUUUGUGAUUUAUGAGGACACAAAUUUGUAUAAUGACAUGGGUAUUACACUGGUAUUACAACGUAAACAUGAAAUAUGAGGACAUUUCAUGAGUCCUCAUAUUUAAAAUAGCUUUAAAAACAUACUAAACAAUGUUUUAUUAAAAAUGCAGAAUGUUUUCUGUGAUGGGUAGGUUUAUGGGUAGGGGUAGUGU